CGAAGAACCUUACCUGGUCUUGACAUCCUUCUGACCGGUCCUUAACCGGACCUUUCCUUCGGGACAGGAGAGACAGGUGGUGCAUGGUUGUCGUCAGCUCGUGUCGUGAGAUGUUGGGUUAAGUCCCGCAACGAGCGCAACCCCUAUCUUUAGUAGCCAGCAUUUAAGAUGGGCACUCUAGAGAGACUGCCAGGGAUAACCUGGAGGAAGGUGGGGAGGACGUCAAAUCAUCAUGCCCCUUAUGACCAGGGCUACACACGUGCUACAAUGGCUAAACAAAGGGAAGCAGCCUCGUGAGAGUGAGCAAAUCCCAAAAAUAACGUCUCAGUUCGGAUUGUAGUCUGCAACUCG
rnacentral:rRNA from 1 species